UACGUAGGGUGCAAGCGUUGUCCGGAAUUAUUGGGCGUAAAGAGCUCGUAGGCGGUCUGUCGCGUCGGCUGUGAAAUCCCGGAGCUCAACUCCGGGCCUGCAGUCGAUACGGGCAGACUGGAGUUCGGCAGGGGAGACUGGAAUUCCUGGUGUAGCGGUGAAAUGCGCAGAUAUCAGGAGGAACACCGGUGGCGAAGGCGGGUCUCUGGGCAACUACUGACGCUGAGGAGCGAAAGCGUGGGGAGCGAACAGG
rnacentral:rRNA from 1 species